rnacentral:lncRNA from 1 species
CUGCCGUGUGCGGGGAUGGGCUCGGGGGAUGCGGCACCGGGGGAGGACCUCGCCACGGAAAGCACCCUCCCGACUGCCGCCUUCCGUACCCGUAAAAAUAACACCGGUGUGAUGGAAAGGAUUCCAGCUGAAUGUUUUCUCUGUGACUCAAAUACAAACCUGCAUAAGGUAGGUUAUUUCUUCUACCUGUUUCUUCUAUUAUUUCUUUUAUUGUUAAGGGCUAGUCUUUGCCUAGCCUCCAGUGUGUGACAUGGGUAGGGCACAGAGAGCAGAAAACUGUGCCACAGUUGUCUAGGAGCCUGAUAGCACCGUGGUUACGAAGGCACUUUGCUCCCCGUUGAAUUGUCUGGGAUGUCUGCCAGCUUUAAAGGGACUAAAAGUGAGUAAGGAGAUGGCCCACUUUCCUUUCACACAGUUGGCAGGAGGUGAAGCAUACUGUGUGUUUUCAUAAGCGCUGGGGAGCGAUGGGACACUUUCUAGCCAUCCUUUCCCUACGCAGCAUGAUGUGUCACCUGCUCAGGACCAAGGCAGGGACCCAGUGUGCAGUCAUCUGUCCCCUGGGUUAACACUACGGGGAAAAAAAUUUUGUGUGUGGCCUCUGCUUAUUUCAAGUAGAACAUAACGUCACCAGAUGGACUGGAAGCUUAAAGCAAGCUGUGAUUGCUCUUAACACUAAAAAUCAUUUAAGGUGUUGCAAUAGCUACAGCACAG